AGGAUCCGGGCCCCCUGGCUUCUGAGGUGUCCCCAGGGUCCUGAGUGUCUCUGGCUCCUGGAUGGGCCUUGGGAAUGGUUUGCUGAGUGGCUGAUUCAACAGGCCGUGGGGGCAGAACAGUCUGGAGCCACAUUGGUUCUGAUAGAAGAGCUGACUCGAAGCCAGGGAAUUUGAAAUUGCUGAAACCUAAAGCAGAAUGGAGACAGCAAGAUGUGAUGGGAAGGGGAAAAAUGCAUCCAAGAGGAAGAAAAGAUGUUCUUACCUCGAGUUAGAGAUCAAACUCGGGACCUUUCACAUGCAAGGCAGGCAGAGGAACCACUGAGCUAAAUCCCUG